rnacentral:tRNA from 1 species
GGUGGCUCAGUGGUAAAGCACAUGCCUUGCAUACAUGAGGCCCUGGGUUCGAUUCCUCAGCACCA